rnacentral:rRNA from 1 species
CAGUAGCCGCGGUAAUUCGAAGGGGGCUAGCGUUGUUCGGAUUUACUGGGCGUAGAGGGCGCGUAGGCGGACUGGUAAGUCAGGGGUGAGAUCCCAAGGCUCAACCUUGGAACUGCCUUUGAUACUGUUUGUCUUGAGUUCGAGAGAGGUAAGUGGAACUGCGAGUGUAGAGGUGAAAUUCGUAGAUAUUCGCAAGAACACCAGUGGCGAAGGCGGCUUACUGGCUCGAAACUGACGCUGAGGCGCGAAAGCGUGGGGAGCAAACAGGAUUAGAUACCCCUGUAGUCCCUGUCUCUUAUAC